rnacentral:rRNA from 1 species
AACGAACGCUGGCGGCAUGCCUAACACAUGCAAGUCGAACGAGACCUUCGGGUCUAGUGUCGCACGGGUGCGUAACGCGUGGGAACCUUCCCUUAGGUUCGGAAUAACUCCCCGAAAGGGGUGCUAAUACCGGAUAAUGUCUUCGGACCAAAGAUUUAUCGCCUUUGGAUGGGCCCGCGUUGGAUUAGCUAGUUGGUAGGGUAAAAGCCUACCAAGGCGACGAUCCAUAGCUGGUCUGAGAGGAUGAUCAGCCACACUGGGACUGAGACACGGCCCAGACUCCUACGGGAGGCAGCAGUGGGGAAUAUUGGACAAUGGGCGAAAGCCUGAUCCAGCAAUGCCGCGUGAGUGAUGAAGGCCUUAGGGUUGUAAAGCUCUUUUACCCGGGAUGAUAAUGACAGUACCGGGAGAAUAAGCUCCGGCUAACUCCGUG